rnacentral:rRNA from 1 species
GACGAACGCUGGCGGCGUGCUUAACAUAUGCAAGUCGAACGGAAAGGCCCUGCUUUUGUGGGGUGCUCGAGUGGCGAACGGGUGAGUAACACGUGAGUAACCUGCCCUUGACUUUGGGAUAACUUCAGGAAACUGGGGCUAAUACCGGAUAGGAGCUCCUGCUGCAUGGUGGGGGUUGGAAAGUUUCGGCGGUUGGGGAUGGACUCGCGGCUUAUCAGCUUGUUGGUGGGGUAGUGGCUUACCAAGGCUUUGACGGGUAGCCGGCCUGAGAGGGUGACCGGCCACAUUGGGACUGAGAUACGGCCCAGACUCCUACGGGAGGCAGCAGUGGGGAAUAUUGCACAAUGGGCGGAAGCCUGAUGCAGCAACGCCGCGUGCGGGAUGACGGCCUUCGGGUUGUAAACCGCUUUCGCCUGUGACGAAGCGUGAGUGACGGUAACGGGUAAAGAAGCACCGGCUAACUACGUG